GCACUUUCAGUAGGGAGGAAGGUAGUGUAGUUAACACCUGCAUUAUUUGACGUUUACCUACAGAAGAAGCACCGGCUAACUCCGUGCCAGCAGCCGCGGUAAUACGGAGGGUGCGAGCGUUAAUCGGAAUUACUGGGCGUAAAAGCGCAUGCAGGCGGCCUGUUAAGUCAGAUGUGAAAAAGCCCGGGCUUAAACCUCGGAAAUUGCAUUUGAAAAACUGGCAGGCUAGAGUCUUGUAGGAGGGGGUAGAAUUUCAGGUGUAGCGGUGAAAAUGCGUAGAGAUCUGAAGGAAUACCAGUGGCGAAGGCGGCCCCUGGACAAAGACUGACGCUCAGAUGCGAAAGCGUGGGGAGCAAACAGGAUUAGAUACCCUGGUAG
rnacentral:rRNA from 1 species